rnacentral:hammerhead_ribozyme from 1 species
AUCUAGUGGACGAGUCCCGAAUAGAAUAAAACACGUGUCCUAGAU